UGGGGAAUUUUGGACAAUGGGGGAAACCCUGAUCCAGCCAUCCCGCGUGUGCGAUGAAGGCCUUCGGGUUGUAAAGCACUUUUGGCAGGAAAGAAACGUCGCGGGUUAAUACCCCCGCNAAACUGACGGUACCUGCAGAAUAAGCACCGGCUAACUACGUGCCAGCAGCCGCGGUAAUACGUAGGGUGCAAGCGUUAAUCGGAAUUACUGGGCGUAAAGCGUGCGCAGGCGGUUCGGAAAGAAAGAUGUGAAAUCCCANAGCUUAACUUUGGAACUGCAUUUUUAACUACCGGGCUAGAGUGUGUCAGAGGGAGGUGGAAUUCCGCGUGUAGCAGUGAAAUGCGUAGAUAUGCGGAGGAACACCGAUGGCGAAGGCAGCCUCCUGGGAUAACACUGACGCUCAUGCACGAAAGCGUGGGGAGCAAACAGGAUUAGAUACCCUGGUAGUCCACGCCCUAAACGAUGUCAACUAGCUGUUGGGGCCUUCGGGCCUUGGUAGCGCAGCUAACGCGUGAAGUUGACCGCCUGGGGAGUACGGUCGCAAGAUUAAAACUCAAAGG
rnacentral:rRNA from 1 species